rnacentral:ncRNA from 12 species
AAAACCGGAGGACAGAACAGGCAGCCGUCGCCCAUCGUUCGGAGAUGUGGGAAGUGUUACCCCGCCUGGUUUC